UACGUAGGGGGCAAGCGUUGUUCGGAUUUACUGGGCGUAAAGGGCGCGUAGGCGGCGCGGUAAGUCACUUGUGAAAUCUCUGAGCUUAACUCAGAACGGCCAAGUGAUACUGCAGUGCUAGAGUGCAGAAAGGGCAAUCGGAAUUCUUGGUGUAGCGGUGAAAUGCGUAGAUAUCAAGAGGAACACCUGAGGUGAAGACGGGUUGCUGGGCUGACACUGACGCUGAGGCGCGAAAGCCAGGGGAGCAAACGGG
rnacentral:rRNA from 1 species